rnacentral:rRNA from 1 species
GCAGAAGUAUAAACCAGGCUUUACUCACAGAAGUUAAGCAGGGCUGAGCCUGGUCAGUACCUGGAUGGGAGACCACUUGGGAAAACUAGGUUGCUGUUGGA